AGAUGUGAGGGCGAUCUGGCUGAGACAUCUGUCACCCCAUUGAUCGCCAGGGUUGAUUCGGCUGGCUAGGCGAGUGUCCCCUUCCUCCCUCACCACUCCAUGUGUGUCCUUCCCAAAGCUGACCGCUGGGUCCGAAGAAGAUGGCCUUCCCCGAAUAGAGACGGACCGGUCUUCAGGGUAUAUGAGUAGCUGCGCUCCCCUGCUAGAACCUCCAAAAGAGCUCUCAAGGUCUAUUUUUAUAUAAGUAUAUCUUAGCAUGUGAGCUGAAUGAUAGUCUGAACUUAAUUUGAGAGAGAGGUCA
ensembl:misc_RNA 7SK 7SK RNA